UGGGGAAUCUUCCGCAAUGGACGAAAGUCUGACGGAGCAACGCCGCGUGAGUGAUGACGGCCUUCGGGUUGUAAAGCUCUGUUUAUCGGGACGAAUGGUUCUUGUGCGAAUAGUGCGAGGAUUUGACGGUACCGGAAUAGAAAGCCACGGCUAACUACGUGCCAGCAGCCGCGGUAAUACGUAGGUGGCAAGCGUUGUCCGGAAUUAUUGGGCGUAAAGCGCGCGCAGGCGGAUUGGUCAGUCUGUCUUAAAAGUUCGGGGCUUAACCCCGUGAUGGGAUGGAAACUGCCAAUCUAGAGUAUCGGAGAGGAAAGUGGAAUUCCUAGUGUAGCGGUGAAAUGCGUAGAUAUUAGGAAGAACACCAGUGGCGAAGGCGACUUUCUGGACGAAAACUGACGCUGAGGCGCGAAAGCCAGGGGAGCGAACGGG
rnacentral:rRNA from 1 species